CCUGGUGGUCAUUGCGGGGUGGAUGCACCCGUUCCCUUUCCGAACACGGCCGUGAAACGCCCCUGCGCCAAUGGUACUUCGUCUCAAGACGCGGGAGAGUAGGUCGCUGCCAGGU
rnacentral:rRNA from 1 species